AAUAGAUACCCAGGUAGUCCAUGCCGUAAACGUUGGGCACUAGGUGUGGGACCCCCUCAACGGGUUCCGUGCCGUAGCUAACGCAUUAAGUGCCCCGCCUGGGGAGUACGGCCGCAAGGCUAAAACUCAAAGGAAUUGACGGGGGCCCGCACAAGCAGCGGAGCAUGUUGCUUAAUUCGAGGCAACGCGAAGAACCUUACCUGGGUUUAACAUGUACGGAAAGCCACAGAGAUGUGGUGUCCUUUUGGGCCGUACACAGGUGGUGCAUGGUUGUCGUCAGCUCGUGUCGUGAGAUGUUGGGUUAAGUCCCACAACGAGCGCAACCCUUGUCCUAUGUUGCCAGCGGGUAAUGCCGGGGACUCGUAGGAGACUGCCGGGGACAACUCGGAGGAAGGUGGGGAUGACGUCAAAUCAUCAUGCCCCUUAUGUCCAGGGCUGCAAACAUGCUACAAUGGCCAGUACAAAGGGCUGCUAUACCGCGAGGUUGAGCGAAUCCCACAAAGCUGGUCUCAGUUCGGAUUGGAGCCUGCAACUCGACUCC
rnacentral:rRNA from 1 species